rnacentral:tRNA from 1 species
GCUUCUGGUUAACUCAGUUGGUAGAGCGCUCCCCUGGAUAUGGAGACGUCCCUGGUUCGAUGCCAGGACCAGGCG